AUUGCAUUCCUAAAUUUUAAAAUUCAAAUUUAAAUUUACAUUUAUAAAAAUCUAGUCACAUCUGAAUUACAAUGAAAUGUAUGGGCUUGGUAUACUACUACAUUUAAAGUGCCCGUGAAAAUAAAUAUGUAACUGCUAGUUUUGUUUUAAACUUUUGUAUUAUCUAAAAUUAUGACACAUUGCCAUACUUUGGGAAACUGCUUCUUUGCUUUGGAAAUUAUGCCAAUUGCAGCUCUUUGAUUUAAAAAAGUAAUCAUUAUUAUUUUCAUUAUAUAUAUUUAUUUGGUACAAUUUGAUAAUUUGUGUAUACAAUGUAAAAUAUAUGUUGAUUACAUUGACUAGUUAACAUUUCUAUCUUUGUAAACAAAAUAACUUAUUAUCAUGUAAUAAUUGUACAUACUUAUGGGGCAUAGGGUGAUGCUUCAGUAAAUAUACAUACUGAAUUAAAUCGGGACAAUAAAUGUUUAUCUGUUGUGAUUUGUAUCUAGCUGUCCUCCCAAAAUUUCGUGUGGUCAUAGGUGGGUCUUUUUGGAGGUGGCUGGAUCUAGAGUAUGUGAUGGUGGGGUCAAGGAUGUGAUGCAGGGAUUGAUUCACAGUGCAAUGCUAGGAUUAAGGGCACCCCACUUUGGGUGAGAGCGCUACCUGCCCUAAGGCUAGCCUGGAUGAAAUAUAAGAGAUGGAAAUAAGGAUGCUGUGGUCCUUGCUUUUUGGUUGUCACUUGCUGCUUUGGUGCCUCCUUCUCUGUAAUGCCCCUCUGCCAUGCCACCCUGUGCUGGAGCCUGCCAACUAUGACUGAAUCCUCUACAAACUAUAAGCUACAACAAAACUUUUCUUCCUUAAUUUUGGGUGUUGAGUGCUUUGUCUCAGUAACAAGAAAAAAUAACUAAGACAUUAUCAUUACUUUAUCUUUGGACUCUCAUAGCUUCUCUUUUCUAGUUAUUAAUAAAGUGUAUAAAGAAGUCUUAGUCACUGUCUUAUCACUGGAUACAAUAUUUGAUAUCCAUAAGUAAAAGGAGAGGCUGACUCAUGGCUUUUCUGGGAUUUAGUCUAUAGUGGGCUGGCUUCGAGGUUCAGAGGGGAUGGUGGAAGGGUCUGGUGAAGCUAGUCAUGGCAGCUCGACAGUGAGAGCAAAGUCAGGAGCCAGGUGGGAGAUAUGGCCUUCCGGGUCUUACCUGUCAAUGGCCCAUAUCUUCCAACAAGACUCUGCCUCCUAAUAGCACAUUUAACUCUCAAUUCUUCAGUGGAGUAACCUGCUAAUCAGUAUAGUAUUUCCAUGAUUCAAUCACCUUUUAAACCCUACCUUUAAAUAUCUGAGCCUUUUGGUGGACAUUCUAGAUCAAAACUGUAACCAUAGAUUAUUGUGAAGUAUAGUUACUCCAUUGUGCGGUAAAAUACUAGAGCUCAAUUCAUUUUAUCUAACUGUGUUGGUGUGUGUUAUUCCUAUAUUAAUGUGUCAAUAGUGAUAUUCCCUGGCUUUGUAUUGUAAGUGUGAGAGGAAUUAGGUAAGAACAUGGAACAAAACCAUUUUGGGGGCCUUGGUCACAUCUGUGCAGUUGUCAAUCUGUUGGGCCUUUCUGCAGUUAAGAGCUGGUGGAAAGGCAGAGAGUGCUGAGCACAUGUGAUGACACAUGUCCUUUUAAGGGCCAGUUCCUUCUAGUGAUUCUUCCUCAAGGUUGGAGAGUUACAUUCUUCAACUUGAUUUGUGAUGAAAUAAAAAUUGUCUCUGGUUGAAAAUGUCUACGUCUAAAAGCCCACAGUAAAAACCAUCAUAUGUGUUUUUUCUUAUCCAGGAUGCUGUCUUCUAGUUUCAGACAGAGUAAAAAUAUAUUCUUUAUAUCUUAGGUAUUGAGUUUAGGUGCAUUUUAGAUUGCAGUGCUAAUUUAUUUUAUUUAUAUGUUUAGACUUUGAGCCUUUGGAACUCAAUAAAGCAAAUUCAUGCAAAUCAUAAGCUAGUCAUUAAUUUGAACAAAAGGUUUUGAUUUCUUUUCUGAAAAAAUAGAUUCCAAGUACUGAAGAAAAACUGAGAAACAUUUUGUAUGUUUAUUUAAAUAAAUUUGCACACUGAAAAUAAUGCCUAACACCAACAGGAACUGUUGCAGUUUAUGAAGAAGACAUUCAUGUUAUCUGGAUCCCAGUUUUUCCCCAGGAAUUGUGCCUAUAACUUGAGUUAUCUAUGUGAAUCAUGUUGGUGGGGGGAGGUGGGGCCAUCUUACAAGAUUCAGACCUGGGUCAGUAAGAGCUGGGGGAUGCUUGUUGGAUUAGUUGGAGAGAAGCAUCUGACAUUUCAGCCUUUCUGUAUUAACUUGGUUCUUUGAAAACCAAUAAAACACAAAAGUAACAUUUUUAAUACAUUUGCUUAAAAGCUUUUGUCCUUAUUUUGUUAUGUUUACUCACCUUAAAAGCCAUUUCAACCUUCUGAAGAAUAAUUUGUAAUUAGAAGUGAUUAUAUUUUUUAAAAUGUAUGCCUUUGGUCCAGAAUAGUUCUCAGAGGAUAUGCUGCUCAUAUAAAUACCAGGGUGCACACAGAACUUGGAUUAAUAGACCGCGAAGGGCUAUUUUUAGGGAGAGUUUAAGUGCAUAUUAUUGUUAUUCCUACAUUGUAUUAAUAAUAUCCUACAUGUGUCUAGCAUGUAUAUUGCAUUUUAUUACUGUACAGCUUGCCAGUGCAUAUAUUAUCUCAUUUGUUCCUCACAACAGCCCUGGGAAGGAAGUUGGGUUGUUUUUAAAUUGUUGACACUGAAGUUCUUUGCUUGAGUUGAAGUCUCAGUAAUGUCAGGGAUAAAAAAGAUUCUAUAGAACUGCAAACAUUCUUUUCAGUAUAUUUUUGCCCAGUGUUAUAGAAAAUGCUCAGAUUGAGUUAAGAAAUAUCUAUUCCUGGUGAGGUACUAUAGCUCAUUAUUUCCUUUACCUGGUAGGAGGAAGAAAGAGAAAAUGACAUGAGUCAUUUCAGAGGAGAAACUUCGGGAUUAAGGAAUAAAUUUGUUUCCCACUUCACAAUUAGUAGCCAACUUUUGGGUUUCUCACUGAACACUGUUCUAUAUCCUUCCUGGGCCAUUCGUACAUGUGCCACUUUCACUACUGAGAUUGCCAGAGGAAAUAAAACUACAGUAUUUUGCUGAAGUUAAUAGUGACUUACUCUGGGCUUAUGUAGAAUUUAGGAAUAUUGUAAAAUUUCCUAUUUUACCAGCAGAAACAUGGGGAAGCAAUGACAACAAGCUGUGGGGUAUGUUGAUAGCUAAGCUGAAAUCGUACUACCAGGACUUCUUGGAAUCUGGUCUGGAAAAUACUUAAAUAAUUUAUUGUAAUGAUUAUUUCUAUAGGACUCAACUUCAGGAUUAAAUGCUAAUUUUAUUUGACUUACAUAAAGAGAAAUUAUUACUGCAGUUACUUUUAAAGAGCUCCUUGGGUUUGCUGGGAGUACCUGAAUUAACAGUAAAUUGAGCUCCAUUAUGUAUUAAUGGGUUCAGGUGAUUUAUUGGUGGUAUAUCUGGCAAUUAGCCAUCCUGCAUAGUGUCUUCUGUUUGACCCUUCUCUUUUUCACUAUGUACUGAGUAUGAGUGUAAGGAUGAGUGCCUUGAACCAGUGGCGUAGUCUGCCCAUCCACCUGAUACGGUCUUUCAUUAUUUUAAUGGAGAGUUACGAUCUGUUUUGAAGGAUAUUUGGACACACUUAAUACCUUUUGGAUGAAACCAUUGGAGGCAUAAAUGAGAGUACAUAUUGUCAUUGAACUAUUAAAAAUCUUUACUCAGUCACCAGAUAGCCAUUAUGUUAGAUAAAUCACAUUAGAUAUUUCCUUUAUUUUUUAAAAUUAUACAGUUGCUUUUAGCUUCUGCGGCACUUAUACAAGGAAUUUCUCUGAGUGGACUGCAGCACAGUGAGUUAUAGCCAACAGCAUUAUUUGCAAGAGUCACUUUGGGGUGCCUAAUUUGUCCUCAAGAGAAAUAUUUUUUUGCUCAGCCUGCAAAAUGUUGUAAUAAAAAUUGGUGAUUGAUGUUGAUUAUAAGAUUAAAUGGCUCGGCCACAGUGCUAAUGUUAUAAAUCAGUAGAGUCCAAAGUUGUGAUUGGCCACUAGAGAAGGUUUUAAGUGAGUGCUUUAAAAAAAUGAGUCAAUAUAUUUCAAGUCUUUAUAGUAUUGACUCCUUAAGUUUAUUGAAAGUAUAUUUAAAACAUUCUAUGGUGUGUCGAAUAAGUUGCUAAUACAAUUUGGUUUUGCUUAUCUAAGCGUGGAAGAAAAUAUAUGAAAAUAUAUGAAAAACUCUUUUCUAGAAGAGAAAGCAUGUGGGAAUUAUUAAGACCAAGUUAAUUACUUGAUGUGUUAACUGGAGAAGUUUUCUGUUUGAUUGCUCAGAUUCAUGUCUCUCUCGGUCUGUCUCUCUCUCUCUCUCUCUCUCUCUCUGUCUCUGUCUCUCUCUCUUUUUUUUUAACAUUUCGUAGGGAAAUGUUAAAAGAGAGGAGAAAGGAGCCCCUCCCAUCAUCUAUGGUCUGGUGCCAUCUUUCCUUGUCAAGGGGCUAAUCUCUGUUCUUUGGGUAAUAUAAAGAUAUCCAGCAUAGCUAGAUAGAUGCCUCACUUCAGGUUGAUAAAAAAGAAGGGCAGAGAGGUUAAAUCAGGAAAUAUAGGCUGGGACUUGGCUAGAUCGUCUGAAGCCAGGAUACAAUCUUGCGGCAGGCAAGGGGUCUGAGAAAGGAAGGGAAGCAAUGGUGAUUGUACGAGACAGAGCUGAACAGCAGCUCUCCAAACUGAUCAGGGUUGGAGCGAGGGAUGAGAGCUUGCCAAAAUUAACUAAGGAGAUCCCACAAAAGAUGAAAAUCUAGAUGCUCUACUGGUCACAUAAGUCCAGACCAAAUACAUGCUGAGAAGGAACUACACAAGAAUAUGAAUACAUAGAGGCAUGAUUUGUGUGUGUAUGUAUUUAUAUGUGCAUACAUGCCUACAUAUUGGAGAUUUCCACCAUAAGCAUUAUGAUUUAUUUUUUCUAGUUGACACCCAUUACCCAUUGAAAAAAUAGGCAAUCUUUGACUGAACCAGUACAUUUGUAUUUCUACAGUUGGAUUUAAUAUUCCUUAAAAAUAGACUUUUUGCAAAAGUACCAAGAUUACUUCUAAAUAAAGAAAUCUAUUUUUUUGUCAGAGAUUUACUUGAAUAAGACUUAAUUUUAGAAAACAGUUACUGAAAAGUUAAUCAUAUUGAUGCUAUCUAGAGAGGAGUUUGGGUAAUAUAAAGACAUUUUAUACUGACAUAGAUAUGGAUAUACUUGAAGUUAGAUUUUCAAUAAAGAAGAUGGAAGAGAAUAAAUGAAAGAUGAGGAAAAAGAUCAACAGGGGAAAAGCUGGAAGAAUCACAUAGUGGUCUGAGGGCGCGGGGAGAAUGCACUUGAAAGAGUGCAGAGCUGUAUUCGCUGAUGCCUGUCCAACAGGGUUAGGAUGGAAACAGGAGAUUCUGGAGUGUGAGCUUUGUUUUCUGAAACGCGCUUAACCAUUUCUUAUGAUUUUUUGUUAAUAAAAAUGAUUUAAAAAUUUUUUUCAGUUACUAUGCUUUCUCUUGUUAUUUUCAAUAGAAUUGUCCACAUCAUCAGACAUGAUAUAAUUGAACAUAGCAUUACAUAGCUAUUUUAAUAAAAACACAACUUUGGAGACAUUGUAGGACUUUGAAAGCAGUUAAUAAUCAAACCAGAAUGAACAUCUUAUUACAUCUUGUCAUCUUCAGAGUAGUUGCCUUACUCUUAGACUUGAUACUAUCAAGCAUACCAAAUUUGAAUAAAAUCAGUCAAGGCAAAAUAGCAGUCUAACAAACCAGCUUCAAAUAAGAUCAGUCAUAGGAAGACAAUGUAAGUAAUACAGGGCUUCAGUUUAAGUUAAUAGGAAAUUAAGGAUUGUUACUGGGGUAUAGUCUAUAAUUUUUGAGAUAGCUGUCUGUGCCCUCAAAUCUAGUAUGAGUAGACAGACUGAAACAAAAUAAAAUCAAACUAAACAGAGUGAUAAGACUACUGUGGCUUUGUAUAUUCAGGAUGCUUUGUAUAUUUUGGGUUCCACUAGCUCCUUUAGUUUUUAGAUUAGGGGGCCAAUCCAUUAUCUAUCUGAGUGGUGCUGAACCAUUUUACCCCUGAGCUUGAUCUUGAGCUGCACUCCUUUACUUACUAAAGCCACAAGGUUUUCCUUCUUAAUAGCUGUGUAGUUCUACACUGCACAAAAGUGUCAUAACUUUCCAACCUAUCUGCGGCUGCUGGACAAGUUGUCCCUAUUUCUAUCUGGUGCUCUGUCACACAGAGCAUUGUUUUCUCAUCUUUGACUUUCAGUUUAUUAAUCUCUUUCAGGUUCAAUGUAUUUCCUAUUCAGAGCAUCUUGAUGGAUCCUGCCUCUUAAUCUACUCUGCCUGUGUUUCUUUUUGUUAGUGUAUCAAAGCUAUCUAUAUUAGAGAUUAUAGCCCACCGUUUCUUCCUCAUCUCUGCUAUUAUGUUUUUCUGCUAUUAUUUGUCCACUUUUCUUCUUCAUUCCACUGUCUGCCCCAUUCAUUAAGGCCUGUCUGCCACUGUUGCUGGAAUCCUGGUAUUUUUUUCUCUCCCUCUCUAGAAUGUCCUUCAGUAUUUUUUGUAGGGUUGGAUUGGUGGCCGUGAACUGCCACAGUUCCUCUUUGUCUUGGAAACAUCUUAUUUCUCCAUUAAUUUUGAGAGUGAGUUUUUCAGGGCACAUCAAUCUAGAUUGGAGGUUAUUUUCUUUCAGGGCUUGGACUAUUUCCCCCCAGGCUCUUCUCGAUUUGAUAGUUUAUGUUGAUAAGUCUGUCAUUAUUUUGAUGAUUUUUCCUUUGUAGGUAAUCUGCUUCUUUUCUCUGGCCACUUUUAAUAUCGUUCUUGUGGUGGAUUUCUGGGAUCUUGAUUAUUAUAUGUCUAGGUGUAGAUCUGUUUUGGUUUUAGUUGGUUGGAGUUCUGUAUGCCUCAUUUAUCUGGUAUCAUUUCUUUUUCCUAUGCUUGGGAAGUUCUCCUUAAUUAUUCCUGUGUAUAGUCUUUGUAAUUCAUUUGUGGUUACUCCUGCUCUUCGCUCAUGUUUUUUAUUCUUAAAGUUAUAGAUCCUCUUGUCAUCUUCUAGCCUUUGAAUUGUUACCUCCUGGUUCCUUGUUACUUUUAAUAGGUCUUUUCUUUCAGGAUCACACAUUGUAAAUCUCUCUUCAAGUUUUGAAAGGCUAACUUGAGUUUAUGUCAAGGCAUUUUGCCAGCUUUCAAUGGAGUUUUUAGUUUCCUGUUAAUUUCUUUGGAUCUGUUUCAUGUAUUCUAGAUUUUGUUUAUAUUCUUCACCAAAGGUUUCUCUUCCUUUUCUGGGUUCCUCUGUUCUUCCAUCUGUGUUUUCUUGAGAGGGGCUUAGCAUUUCUUUAAUUAAUCUUUUUAUAUCUUGCCUCACUUGGAUUAAAAUUUCAGUUUUAAGUUCGUCUAUGAGGUCACGAAGGUAUUUCUUUAUGUCUGCUGAUGUUGUGGCCAAUAUUGCAUGAUUGCUGCACUGGUUCUCUUCUGUAUUUACUUCUCCUGGGCUUAUUUUCCCUGGGUCAGCAGCUGGAGGCUUUCUCUUGUUUCUUUCUCUUGUCAUGUUUCUGGUUUCUUUCAGACAGGUGUAUGGUGGAGAUCUCAGGCCCUCUCUAUAUCGCUUACAGUUUUUCUGAAGCAUGCAGGCUGGGGGCUUGCUGCCUUCUCCAGUUUGCUGCUAUCUGAGAUGCACACAGGGAUGAUGCGGGCUGGCCCCUCUUCUUUGAGCCAGUCAACUGGCAAGAACCCUCAGCCACUUAGGCUGUGCUGUGGUGGACGUUACGGAUUCGGGACAGUUUUGUCCCUGGUUAUUGGGUCCUGACCAGGGGCAUGGCUCACCCCAAGCUCAUCCCACCAGUUCUCUCUGGGCCAGGGAUGGCUGACUGAGGCCACCACGAUGCCGGGCUCUGUGCUACUCCAAGAUGUCUUCCAGCCAGCCACACCCACCACAGGACCCAAUUUUCAGCACUCACCGAGAAAUAAUGCCGCUCUCCAUCUCGGCUCUACUCCACGCUGCACUGUGUCCUCCUGCCACGGGCCUGGGACUCACCAACUCUCCUUAUCAGCAGCCUUCAGUGCAACCAUGGAUCAUGUGACUCCACAGUGCCCCCAGCACAGCACGGGACGGGUCUCAGAGUGUGUCCGGCUCCAGUCCUCCACCCAUGUUUUUCCUUCCUCUUCCCCUUUUUCUUUUUCCUCAGUUUCCUCCUGGGUCGUGAGAAUCCCUCUCCCCUCAUCUGGCCCUCUCCACGUUGUCAAAUUCCAGCAUCCGAGUUGUUUUUCCCAGAGAGGCUCUCUACCCAGCUACCUAGCAAGGUGCCAUCUUCUUUCCCUCUGCAAAAGUGAUAUUUUUAGAAACAUAUUCCUUUAAGGUUAUGAAAAAUUUGGUUGUUGUCAUAGCUCAAGUACAUGGAUGUAAGGGGACAUUUGAUUCUUUGGAUAUCUGUAAAGCUGCUUUUGCCCAGAUCUUUCACUGAUAGUUUUUCCUCUCUGAAGACGACAAGAAUUUAGAACAAUUUCUAAUUCUGGUUCUAAUUCUGGCCAUUAAGGAAGUAGUGACUAAAGGAAGUAUUGAGAAGGCCUCCAUUGGGAAAGGAUUUAUGAUUUCCAAAUAGGGCAAGAACAAAUGAGAAAUGUCAUUUCAAUGGCAUAAUUCUUUUUUUUUUUUGACUGGGGAUUGAACUCAUGACCUCAUGCUUGCCAGGCAGGUGCUAAGCCACUGAACUAAAUCCCUGGCCCCAAUGGCAUGAUUCUUAGAGAAGGAAGGAUGUUCCAUGUGAUAGGGAAAAUGUACAAAAAAUAUAAUUCUGAUUUUGAAGGUGGUGUCCUGGACAUCUGCAUCUUUCUCCUUUCACUGAUCUCCAUUAGCCCCUUGACUAAUAAUGGAAACAAUAAUAAAAUAUUAUUUAUUAUUUAUUGAUAUUCAUAGUAGCAGCAUUAUUUUUAUUUAUAUAUGAAAACUAUAUUACUAUUUUAAUUGGUCUGUAAUGUACAUACAAUACACACCAAAGAUAAUUUGUUUAAUAUUAUUGCUAACUCACAAGACUAAUCAUUUGUUAGUCAUAGAGCUACGAUCUCUUUUUCUACAAUUCUGGAGCUGACACAUGACAGACUAAUUCUUAAUCAUCUGAGUGAGCAAAUGGGCCUCAAGAAAAAAAGAGUUAAAAUUCCUAAAAGUUACUAGUAUCAGAGGGAUGUCUUAGUUAGUUUUUCUUCUUCCAACCCCCUAAGUUAAAGGAAAAAAGAUAUAUUUGGUUGACAGUUUACAGAUGCUUCAGUCUAUAGAGAGCUGGCUCGAGAGUGGGAUGGCCUGACAGAGGGGCAUUAUAGAGGAGAAAUAGUACACAGAAGUGAGGCUAGUGAGAGCACGUUAAUGUAUUUAUGCAUGAUAUGUACCCCACGGCAGGUGUAGCACUCCCUUCUUUAAUCUUAGCCAGAACUAUGCCAAACCAAUCAGUGGACUGAUUUAGUAAUCAAAUGCCCUUGACCCCAGAACCACACACUCUAGAUCCAGUUACUGCUGAAAAGCACCCCACGUGACCACAUGUGGCUUUGGUGGGAGACAUUAAGACACAAACCAUAACAAAGGAUGACAAUCAUAAGGCAGUUAGUGCAUAUCUGUAAGAAUGGUCACAUGAAAACUAAAAUUCCAAGUGAGAGUUUAAAUGAUAGGGACUUUUUUUGUCAAAAUCAGGUUCAGAGCAAGUAAAAGUCAGCAUAGUGUUCAACGUUUAGCAAAAUGUUUGACUGCACAUAUUGCUUUUUCUUUUUUGUGCCAUGAGCUGUUUUUGUCCAAAAGUAGAAUGGAUAAUGGUAAAAGGUAUAUUUGGAAUUAGAGAUGGGAGAUGGCAUUACACAUGGAUUUCUGAAUUUUUAAAGUGGGGGCUUCAUAUUCAAGGCCAUAAAAUAUGUGCUCAUAGUUCCUUGAGCUGAUCCUCAUAAUUGCUGAGAAAUACUGUAGAAUGAAGAAAUCUCAGAGGUCUGGAGUUGGGCAAAUUGUACACAUUUUCCAAUAUUCAAAUGCAGGAGUGGGCAGAAGGUUGAACUUACAAAAUAUCUGCCGGUGAUCUCAGUAUUGAUUUCAAAUAGACUUAGGAGUUAGUCUAGAACUUAAUUGUUAAGGUUUACAUCUAGAUGUCCCCCUAAAGCCUCACGGGCUCAUAGGCAGGGGUUUGGGGAGUUGAUUGGAUCAUAGGAGUGUGAUAUCCGUCACUAGAUUAGUCCACUGAUGGGUUUAUAGCUGGGUGUGGUAUUGGGAGGUGAAGCCUUGUUCAGAGAAGAUGGAUCACUGGGUGUAGCCUAGAUAUACAUAACCCUCCACCUCCUUUGAUUUCUUGCUACUUCUUGUCUGCCUUGCCAUGAACUGUUUCUCCUCUGCCACCUGACUUGCCUUGAAGCCAGCUGACUAUGGACUGAAACAUCUACAAACUGUGAGCCAAAAUAAAUUACUUCUUUAACUUGUGGGUGUUAGGCAUUUUGUCCCAGCAGUGAGAAAGUAAUGAAGACGUUGAGAUAAGAAGCAUCAAGAUCCUGCAAAGAGUUCAUGUCUAGUGGGUCUUAUUUUCUUUAUGAUUGAGUCCUACUUAGCCUACAGAUGAGAGAAGUAUGGUAGGUAUCACUAACCUGGACUUUGACAGGGCAUAAGACAUUUUUCCCUCUGACAAUUGUUGUCAAAUUAUAUAUUCUGAAAACAUUUAUAAAUUACAUACCAUGCAUGAAUUAUAGAGGACUUAAAGGUUAACAAAUAUGCUGUUAAAGAAUUCACAGGAUUGGUAAAAGAUAGUGCAGAAGUUAAUUAUGAUAUAAAACAAGGAUUGGAAAAAUAUGAUCCAGAUCCAAAUCCAACCUGCUACCUGUUUUUAUAAGUAUAAUUUUAUAUGUGCAUAUGUGUGUGUGUUUCUAGGGAUUGAACCCAAGGCUUUGAAAAUUGAGCUGUAGCCCCAGGCUCUUAAUUUAUUGUUUGUUUUGAGACAGAAACUUGCUAAGUUUCCCAGGCUGGCUUAGAACUUGCAGCACUCCUGGUCAACCUUUUAUGUCUCUGGAAUUGCAGUUUGGAUACAGAGAACAACAAAAUGAUGCAUCUGUAAAAUAAGGCAGGAAAUGAUAUUGCCAUGGUGAAGAGGUGGCCAGCAUUUCUUCAUGUUCCUGUUGGCUCUGAUUGCAUGUCGAGAAUGAAUACUGCACCAGAAGGCUUGCAGCAGUUAUUUCUGGAUGGAGAGUCUGAGAGCAUCUAUUUCACUGAAGGUCACCAUGCUGGGUGUUACUGUUUUUACACAUUUGAACCAAACUGAUUGUGGAACAAGAUCUCUCAUUCCCACUUGCAUUUUCCUGACUAGUGGUGAGCCUGAGCAUAUCUCCUCUGUCUACUGUCAUUUAAAUGUCUUCUGUCCUCUGUAAUCAAACAUUGCUGUUGACCAUUUUGAUUGAUUGCUUUUUUCUUACCAACAUGUGUUUUAUGUAUUUGAUGAAUAGAAACUUUUUAUUAGCCAUCUGGAUUGCAAUCUUUUUUUUACCAUGUAUCACUUGAAUUUUUUCUUACAUCUUUUGCUAAGCUAAACUGUUUAAUUUUUAACAUCAAAUAUGUGUCUUUUUCUUUAUGACUUAAAAAUGUCCAUCUAGCUUAGAAAGACAUUCCCAUUUAUAAAGAUAUUUUCCAACAUAUAUUUUUUUAAAUUUUAAAUUCAUUCAUUAAGCUAGUAAUUUGCUGUUGUUUGAUGGUACUGGAGUUUGAACUAGGGCCUCACGUAUGCUGGGUAAGUGCUCUACUAUAGCUAUAUUAUAAAUUCUUUAUUAUAUUAUUUUGAAAGAAAGUCUUGCUAACUUUCCUAGGCUGGCCUUGAACUUUUAGUCUUUCUGCCUAACCUCCCAAGUGGCUGGGAUUAUAGUUAUGUGCUGCUCUUCUCUGCUAAUUCACUAAUUUUACAUGUAAACAUUUCACUCGUUUGUAACUUAUUUUUAAAUGAUGUGACAUAAAAGUCUUAAUUUUUUUCUUCCAGAUUCAUAAGCAAUUGUGCAAGCACCAUUUAUAAACAAUCACUUUUCCUGCUGAAAUUUAGAUGCUUUUAUUCUGCUUUAGAUGUUUAUGCCUACUAAGAGAGAUAAUUAAAACACAAACCUGGAAGAAUACACUUCAUCACUACGUUUGGCUAAUGGAGUUUUAUGUUAAGAAACAUAUGGUUUUAAACAAUAUGCCUAUUUUCACAUAGACAUGAUCUCCCAUUAUGAUAAUAGCACUUUUUGUUUACUAAUUACUCUUGAGAUUCAAAUAAUACGUACUGUUAAUUAGUGAACUUGUUCACUAGUUUUCAUUCAGAUAGUUUGAGUUAAGGUUGGUCCAGGAAAGAUGUUUUAUACUGUAGGAUGGUUUUGAAUAUAAGUAGUCCAUGUAGUAUUCUAAUCAUAAAUUUGCAUUGUCACUCUAAAUUGUAAAUCGUAAAAGUUAGUGUAUGUUUACUGCUUACGUCUUUCUUUAGUUUAGCCUGAGUUCAACAAAUCAUUGUAUAUAAGCAAUUUACUCUUGGUUUCAUGUUAUAUCAUGGUAUAUAUUCAUGAUAGUUUAACUAAAUGAAGUCAUAUUGGCAAUCUUUCUAGACAUAAAUAUUAGCAAAAGUUGAGAUUUUAUGCUUUCAUAAAGGUGUUUUUUUUAAAGUGGCAAAACUCUAAAGAAAUAUUCUUGUUCUCAUUUAAGAAGGUAAAUUGAUUGAGAUGGUUAUUUAUAUCAUUGUGGUAAUUGAUUGAUUGGGCUGCAUCCCACAGAUUUAGAUAUCACCUGCACAACUGGGUUAGAAGCAGACAUAAGUGAGAUAAUUCCAGAAACUAGUAAAGAGAUAUAAGCUGAGAAGGAAAUGAGGAGUGGUUGGCUAUGAACAAAAGUUGAAGUUUGAAGUUCGUAGUUGGUCCCAUUGGUAUUUAGCGUCUUGCUAAAAAGAAAGAAAAAAGAAAAAGAAAGGGCCAGAAUUUGCUGAAAUCAAGAAGACCCUGCCUAGCUCAUAUACUCUAUUCAUGACUAUCUGGCUGAAGUAUCAUUUUUAUUGUUCAAUUUAUUGUUUUCAUUCAACAACUUUUUAUCUAGCACAUAUUUUAUGUCAGACUAUACAGAUCCUAGCAUUUCAACAAUUCUGUCAACUUAUGUCUUUUUAUCUAACAUGAAUUUGAUGGUUAUAAAAUUAGUUUGCUAAUAAAAAAUUCACUGCAUUUGCUUAUACUCUGAACUGUUUAAAAAGAGAUUUAAGAAGGUUCAAAACUAUUUCAGUUAACUUCAAGUGAGUUGUCUUUAAAUUAUUUAAGCCACAUUCAUCAGAAGUGAUUCUUCUAAACUUCCAAGCACAUAUACUUGUUUUCUUGUGGUUAUGAAGAAUGAAAAUAGGUGCAUGGAAAGGAUUUAAAAUUCACAGAAGAAAAUAAAGUUUGUGUCAUGACAAUAUAUCUUCUAGAAGUUGAGAAUGUCACGUGUCUAUAGCAUAAAGGUUAUAUUUGAUUAUGAGAUGCAUUUUUAAUAUUUAAUUUUGAGUAGGUAAUGUAAGUGCAUGCCAUUCAAUUCAAAAGAUGUAAAAUAGUACACAGUAAAAAGUGAAUUUUCUCCUUUCUCCUGCCCCCUUUUCCAAUGCAAUCAAUAUCUUUUAUUUCCUGAGAUAAUUUGUGCUACUUCCAAAUAUAGGGGUAUAUAUUGUGUGUUUAUGAAUACAUUAAAGCCUUCAUAAAUUAUGGCACAUUUUACAUCGUUUCACACCUACUUAUUCAUUAGUUGUUUAAUGUGUUGUGGAGACCAGUCCUUUUCUGUACAUGAUGCUACUCCAUUUUUAAAUGACACAGUAUUUUAUUGUAUGAAUAAACUAGAAUUUAUUUACUAGUUACUUAUUUGUGGACAAUUUGGCUGUUUGCAAUAUUUUAUUCUUUUUUUUUUUUUUGUCUUUUUGAGACAGGGUCUCUUUAUGCAGUUCAGGCUGGCCUUGAGCUCACUUUGUAACCCAGGCUGGUCUCGAACUCGUAACGAUCCUCCUAACUCAGCCUCCAGAGUGCUGGGAUUACAGGUGUGAGCCACCAUGCUUGGCAAUAUUUUGUUCUUAUAAGAAUGUUUCAACAAAGAUUCCAUACAAACACUUCUAAAGUACAACCAGAGUCAAAGAAUCUGCCUAUUUAAAUUUGACAGACAUCACACAUUGUCUUCCAUAAAUGUGGUGUCAGUUUAUAAAUUAGACUAUAACCUAACUGGUAACAUUUGAAAUUUCCUUCUACCAGUAUUAUAUUCAAUAUUCUUGAAUAUUUUCAAAUAGUUUGAUCUUUGAUCACCUAACAUGGCGAAUGGUAUUUUAUUAUGUUUUAAUUUGUAUUCAUAUUGUUAUAAAUGAAGUUAAAUAUUUCUCAUAUAUGUAAGAACUAUUCAUAUUUCGUUUUUAGUGAGUACUCUGCCCAUGCUGUAUAUUCCUUCCUGUACUGGCUUGUUGGUUUUUUAAAAACCAUUUGGAGGAUCUUUUUAUUUAUUAAAGAAAUCAAUUCUCUGUUCCAGAUACGAGCUGCAAAUAUUUUUAUCCAGUUUAUUCCUCUUUUCUUUUAUUGCUCCUAGAUUUUGUGUCAUAUGCCAUUCUGACUCAGAUUUUUUAAAAAAUUUUGCCUUUUUUCCUCUAACCACUUAUGGUCUCAUGUUUUGGAUUUAUAUUUUUAAUCUAUUUCAUUAGGAGGUGUGCAGUAAAGGCCUUGUAUUUUUACUUUGUGCACUGGCUGGCUGGCAGCAGUAAAAUCUUCACAGUUUUUCCCUUUACUCCCUGGUUGAUGAACAAGCAGCCAUGUGAGUUGCUUGUUAAGAUAGAGUUCAAGUAGUGUGAGAUGCUUUCACAGCAUGAAGAAUAGGUAAAAAGGCUUCUGCAGGAGCCAAAGAGGAUUCCAAUGCUAACUUUUGCCUAUAUCAUUCUCUCUGUCUUUAUUCCUGCACCCAUAUGUGUUGCUUUUGGUUUUUGUUGCUUUAUCUAAUUCCCAGAUGUUCCUGUAAGGGUCUUCUACCCUCAGAAUGAAUUGGAUCAGCCCUCUUGACCUUCUGUUGGAAGAAAGGAAUGAGCAGACACAGAACACAUAUUUGCCUGGUGCCUUGAUUAGUUAUUCUGAGGUGCACAUGAGGCUGGAGCUGUGUGCAAUUUGACAUUCCAGCUGCUUGGGCCUUCGAGUAGCAAGUGACCUCUUGGGGACCUCACAGCCACCACAAAGUAAGCAGCCUUGGUCCACUAUUCACUUCCUCCAUGAAAUUUCUGUCUUGUGGACUGCUGGCCAUGUACUGAAUAUCCUGGAACCAUGAGCUAAAUGAAGCUUUUCUUAACUUAUGCGUGCUGAGUAUAAUAUGUCAGUCAUGAAAAGGCUUCAUCCACACUCAUUAAAUCAUCAAGCACAGUCAACUGCAUUAGGAAACGAGGCUAAGAUUUCAUUCAGUAAUGCAUUAGUUUGUCCAACUGUAUUAGAUUUGAUGGCAUGGACAGCUAUUCCAAAGAUAGCAAGAUAUACUAUGAUGUCACACCCAAGUCAUCCUAUCAAAAACUUGCUUGAGCUCUCUCAAGAAGUCCACAUGCAGGGUUCUGAGAGCUUUUGUCACCCUCUGACUCAUUUUGAAAGGAAGUGAUUGAGGAAGUUGUAAUCAGGGCUGAAGGGGAGGGAGGAGGAAGCAGUCUUCAGGAUUCUUCAGUGUUCUGUCCUAGACCCAUUGGCCUUCUGAUACAGACUGGCACGGGACACUGCAGUGAGCUCCAGCUCUUGGGCUGACCUUUCAACCUCCAGCACGCAGAUACCCUCUGCAUGCUCCCUCGUGACUUUGUGGCUGACCAUGGUGAUGAAUGGACAUGGACUGAUGGACACGAGUGACAGGCCUGCUGCCCCCAGCAUGAUGGACUCUCCUCCCGGCCCACCCACUCCCUCUCCUGGAGAGGAAGAACUGGAUUCACUUGUUUCUUUGUUUCCUCUGGCUGUCAGCUAGUGAAAAUCUCAUUUUACAAAAGGAUUAAAAGAAUCAUCACUUGUCAUGUCAUGGUGGUCAGAAGAGUGGGUUUAAAGACACAAAAAAAGUUUUUUUGAGAAAUAAGUAAUCUAUUUAGAAGUAAAUUAAAAAGGUUAAAAUUUAUCAGGAGUAGCAUUAAACAUUCAAGUUUUACCUUUUCCCAUGUUACCUGGGGGGAUAUUUAUUCUUUUGGGUCUCACUUUAUCUAUGCAAUCUCCAUUUUCAAUACAUCUGGAGUCUUCCAGGGCUGCCCUGGUGUAUUUACUAUGGUGAAGCUUCUGUAAAUCUCUCCCAUUGAAGGGCACAGCAGAAAUGGCCUGGCUGAAUUAUUAUGUAUGUGAGAGUGAAAACGUCUCACUUGAAGGGCAGAGAAGCAGGGAGUUUCCUGAGGGCAUUUCGAAAAUGGCAAGCAUCUGUAACGGUGAUUUCUAAAAGGACAUCAAAUCUAAUUAAAGGCAACGGGCAUCACAUUAAAGUUGUAAACUAUGUACUUGGAAUUUCAUGUAGCAUUCUGCUUGAAAUCCUAUUUACAAAGUUUAACUGGAUGUUUGAAUCUGGUCGAGGUGAGAGUUGCUUCUGGACCCCAUUUUUAAGGAAAAAUCCAUCUGUUCCAUUUUAGUCACUCCUGCGCUUUCUCUAGGAGAAGUUCUCCCCAGACUCUCCCUACCUUUUCCUGUUGUUAGCUGGGUACCUGGUGCUAUGGGCGUUAGGCUGAAGAGAGGGAUAAUCAGGUUAAUGGCUGUCAUCCACGGUAGUGGGGUAGGAAGACCAGGAACUGAGACAGAUGUUGGCAUUUCCGCUUCCCUUUUAGUUUCUUGUCUUUAUCUCUUUAUAAAAAUUCUCCUCCACCGCACAAGUAGCAUCCAUCAAACUAUGUAACAGAGACCUAUCUUGUAAGUCAUACAAAUUUAAUAAUGAUUCUAUGGGCUCAGGAAUCUCAGAUUGUUUUCUUUCUAAGUCAGAUAGGAAAUUGCCCAGGGGCUGUGAUGCUAGGCACUGUCUUUAUUUAUUUUUAAUUUUUAUUUUAAAGAGGGUAAAAUUAAACAGAACAAAACAGAUUCAUAAAAAACAUUUUAAGAAACCUAGAUUUCAAAGCAAGACCACUGGAGAUCUUCACUGUCUAUCGUAUUGUCUCUUGUUUUCUUCCAAAUAGUUGUCCACAUCUUCGCAUACAAUGAAUUCAUACAAAACAAAAUAGUAUAAAACUGAUGAGAACAGGAUGAUGAAGGCAUUUUAAGUCUUUGAGACCAUACAAUAGGGAAGUCAACAAUGGCUGUCAUAAUAUCUCCUGUUCUCUUCAAAAUAACUGUCCAUACCUUCAUGUAUGUUGAAAUUAAACAAAACAAAACAGACUAAAGUCACUCUGAACAAAGAAUAAUAGUAUUGCUGGAUUUCACAUCAUGAUGCUAUGGAAUCAUAGAGAUCACUGCCUUCAUUUACAGUCUCCUGUCUUAGAAUCUUAUGUACCUGUGUCUCUAUCUGAGAUUUGGAUCCAGUAAUUUUAAAUGUGGGAGCCUGGAAAUGUGAUUUUUUUUUUUUUUGGUACUGGAGAUCAAAUGCUUGACCACAUGCUUGCAAAGCAGGUGCUUAUGUCACUGAACUAAAUCCAUAGCCCUGGAAAUGUGAAUUUUAAAUAGCUAUUCCAGGUGAUUAUCUUAAUGUGGUGUGUAUUAUUUAAUAUUAAUUAGUAUUUAUUUAUUUAAUUAUUUUACUUGGACAUUUCCAAGUGGACACAAAAAUAUAUUAAAUUGAGAAAUAAAAUUCCAUGUAGCUAUUAUCCAUUUUCAACAAUUAUCAAUACAUUUCAUUUUGUCUUUGUCUCUACUAAGUUUUUAUUCUUUAUAUACUUUAAAAUGAGUCUACAUAUCAGGUUAUUUCAUUAAAAGACAUUUAAGUAUGGACCUAAAACAUACAUUUUUCAAUUUUUAUGGAAUUGGUAUGGCAUGUACCACCUCCCCAAAAUAAUUCUGUGACCUCAGUUCAUACUCAAUCUAUAUUCAGAUUUCUCUGAUUAUAUAGAAAUGCCUUUAUAGUUGACUUGUUUAAAUCUGCCCACGUGUAGUCAUACAUUGUAUUUAAAUACGGUGAUACAGAGUCUCUUUCGUCUCUAUUCCAGUGGGGCCUCUGUUUUCUUGAUGAUAUGUAGAGAAAUGAGGCCUUUUACAAUUUUGAAUUGCAUAAUGAGUUCCUUGCCUGGGAAUCUUGUUGAAAUGCAGAUUUUUGACUCAGUAAAUCAGGGGUAAGGCUGAGAGUCUAUAUUCUUAGCUAAAGCUAUAAUUCUGAGGUUGAGGUGUCAGAACCACACUUAGACCAGUCUGUGAAAAAGGCCUAUCCUUGGUUUUGACUGACAGCUUUGUUUUGCCAUAUUUGACUUUAUUCUCUCCCCCCCC